rnacentral:rRNA from 1 species
CCCUUUGGAAAGGAAUAGCCUCGGGAAACUGGGAGUAAUGCCUUAUAAGAUACGUUUGUCGCAUGGCAUUUGUAUUAAACGCUCCGGCGCCAUAGCAUGGACCCGCGUCCCAUUAGCUAGUUGGUGAGAUAACAGCUCACCAAGGCCACGAUGGGUAACCGGUCUGAGAGGGCGAACGGUCACACUGGAACUGAGACACGGUCCAGACUCCUACGGGAGGCAGCAGUGGGGAAUAUUGCGCAAUGGGGGCAACCCUGACGCAGCAAUACCGCGUGAGUGAAGAAGGUUUUCGGAUCGUAAAGCUCUGUUAUUGGGGAAGAAAAAAAGACGGUACCCAAGAAGAAAGUUCCGGCUAACUACGUGCCAGCAGCCGCGGUAAUACGUAGGGAACAAGCGUUGUCCGGAUUUACUGGGCGUAAAGGGCACGCAGGCGGUUUUUUAAGUCAGAUGUGAAAGGCCACAGCUCAACUGUGGACAUGCAUUUGAAACUGAAAGACUUGAGUAUUGGAGAGGCAAGUGGAAUUCCUAGUGUAGCGGUGAAAUGCGUAGAUAUUAGGAGGAACACCGGUGGCGAAGGCG